UGGGGAAUUUUGGACAAUGGGCGCAAGCCUGAUCCAGCAAUGCCGCGUGCAGGAUGAAGGCCUUCGGGUUGUAAACUGCUUUUGUACGGAGCGAAAAGGUCUGCCCUAAUACGGUGGGCUAAUGACGGUACCUGAAGAAUAAGCACCGGCUAACUACGUGCCAGCAGCCGCGGUAAUACGUAGGGUGCAAGCGUUAAUCGGAAUUACUGGGCGUAAAGCGUGCGCAGGCGGUUAUAUAAGACAGAUGUGAAAUCCCCGGGCUCAACCUGGGACCUGCAUUUGUGACUGUAUAGCUAGAGUACGGUAGAGGGGGAUGGAAUUCCGCGUGUAGCAGUGAAAUGCGUAGAUAUGCGGAGGAACACCGAUGGCGAAGGCAAUCCCCUGGACCUGUACUGACGCUCAUGCACGAAAGCGUGGGGAGCAAACA
rnacentral:rRNA from 1 species